ensembl:lncRNA
GUUGCUGGGAUAUGAGAAGCCGAGGAAAGCGUGUUCCCAAAGCUAUUUGUGACCACCCCUUCUUUCCUCUUCUCCCUAACAAGGAAACCCUGCCUGUGACGAGCUGUACAAGGCCUGGCUCAGCGGCUGGCGGGACAGCAACUGGAGACUUAGGAAGAAAAACAACUUCUAAACGUGGUGUUCGUGCAAGAAAGUAUCAGAAAGCGGAAAAUCUCUGAUCCACGCCAUCUGUUUGUCUCAUCCAGUGCUGCAUUCCAAUCUCUGCAACAGAAGAUUCAUGACAACCUGCCAAUAAAAUUCCUGAGAUUGUCAAAACACAGAAUACUUGUGAAAAAGUUUAAGAUAAGAUUCUUUCAUGUUUAAAUUCCUCAUACACACCCUUUCUCUCAGAGCACAGCUGGCUUCAGUACCAGAUUUCAGUCUAUUUCAAGGUUUACCUCACAUUUGGGAAGAUGCAAAUGAAAGAGUUUACAUCAAAGAGCAUGGAACUCAUAUCAUCCUUUCUAACAAUGGUCCUGGCUCUGUCUUAGAGGAGUAGAAUCAUAUUCAGCAGAUCCUGCAUAUUCCUGGAAGGGGCUUUCUGACCACAUGAUCUUCAGGGUGACACAUGGACAAGAAACAGAUCUUCUUCUUGUAAAUAUUACUGCCUUGUAGCACAACUUGGAACUGUUAUUUUAUUUUGCUAAUAAGUUUAUAUUCCGCCUUACCAAAUGACGAGGCAUUACAGUGGAGAAGAAAGCCACGUCUUACCAUAUAGUUACAUGUAUAAUUAGCUCACAUGCAAAUUAAUUGAACAAUUACGUUGUAUAUGCAACUACAAAUGCAUUUAGUACGUAUUUUGGUUAUUGUUUUCCUUUCUAGUGUGCCUUCAGUAAAGAUUGUCAAUAUGCCUUAAGCCACAAGCCAUGUGAGGUCAGAGAAAAGUAUGUUUUACACAGUCCCAAAUGCAUUCUACUGCCCAAUCUGUUACCCUUUCACUUCCCAAAACACUUCCCCAGCCUAAUGCAAAAGGAUUGCCUGACUCGUCAUUCUCAGGGAUUUGGGCAGAGAGCCACUAAGAAGACAAUCAUCCCAGGCAGCAAAUAUCCAUUAAAAAAAAACUUCCUCCAAAUCAGAUGCUGCUGACAAACUCAUAGAAAAGAUAUUGGCAAAGAAAAAAAAUUCAAAAGACAAUAUAUUUCACUUGGUGCCUAGCACAUUAUAAGUACUCAUGGAAAGGAAAUAAUCUCUGUGUUUAAAUGAGAGAAGACGAACCUGAACUGUCCACAUUUAACGUGUGAUAUACGCAGACAAGGAAAGUCCCGUCACGAGGGAACACACACUGUUACCGAAAUAGUUCUCCAAAGAUGGAGGGAUCCAGAGAGGUCUUGUGAAAUUUUCCAAUAUAAAAUCUCAAACCAAAAUCAAUUAAAUCAUUUAAAAAUUUAAAUACGAAAUAGGGAGGAGGAAGAAUUGAACAAUCUAAUAAUAAUAUCCUAUCACUGGGAAAGAUUAGAAUAACCGUCAAAAAAUAUUUUACUGCGUAUUGGAAGCAAAGAUGCUAGGCAUUUCCUAUAUUUGUUCAUUAUCAUCCCAUUGCAAAGAAGUUAGCCAUCUUUUAGCAUAUUUGCAAGAUUAGUCUAAUCAAUGAUUAUUAACAUAUGUUUUAAUGUUCAAAACCUAAGAACUGAGGCUACGCCAAAGAAAUCAGGGUGUAGACAAAGAAAUGCAAGGAAUUCAGCCUCACCUUUUAAAAUUUUCACGAGAAACUAUUUCAUGAAGAAAACAUUUGUAUUACUAUAGCAAGUUUAUUUUAACAGGAGUGUGUGGGUAGUAAACGAAGCCACGGAAGGUAGCUGAGCACAGGCUAUGGAGAGAAACAACAUAAAUGCAAAAGGAGUUGUCUGCAAAUCUGGCUGCUCCGUUUUCUAUUAGAUUUUCUUGGGCUCCCGUUGAGUGAGUGAUUGAGUGUGGAACCAAAGAAAAGACAAGAGUUAACCAGCUUCUGAAUCCUCUUCUUUCUCCACCUAGUCUCAAAAUACAACCUUCCACCCCUCGCCCAAAAAAAAGAUCUCUUUAGUUUAAAGUAGUCCCUUAGCAGCAGAGAUAAUGGUGUUGCCAAUGUCUUUUUCUUAGAUUGCUUAUUUAUUUGCACAGGUGUCAGCUAGUCUAUUAUUUCUCACAUGACAACUUCGCUCCAUGUUUAUUUCUCUGGUUUUACACCAGUAGUGUGGUAUUAUCUCUCUAAAUAAAGGAAAUGUGCCAAAGUAUAAUUUUAUAGUGAUCUCUAACUUCCUUCUUUUCCCCCUAACAUGUCAGGUGGCUCAGUUCUAAGUUUCCCCACAGUUGGUGGGAACUUUUCAAGGAUUUGGGAUAACAGCUGACAUUUUGUG